UCCUCCUUAGCUCAGUUGGUUAGAGCAUCUGACUGUUAAUCUGAGUCCCGAUAGUUAUCGGGAUUGGUUCGAGCUAAGAAGUU
rnacentral:tRNA from 1 species